UCUUCUAUGAUGUGAUCAACGGAUGUAUCCGUAGUAACCAUGGUCACAUUAGCCACGGCUCAUCAUCUCGUCGUGAAUCCCCUCCGCCUCCGCAAUCCGCGGCGGCACCACACCUCCCUCCCGUCCCGCACCUCCUCCUAGAUCACCGCCACCGAUCCCGCGUCCUCCACCGUAGCCGAAUCCCCUUCGCCGCGCCCAUCGUUGGAUCGAGCGCUGUCGUCAUAUCCACCUCCACCGCUGUCCAGUCUGCCGCCCCACAUCCCCGUCCCCGGCGUUUCUCCACCUCGCACUCCACGCUGCAUCGCCUGCCGUCGACGCUCGUCGCCGUCGUGCCCCGCCAUCGCCUGCCGACGGCCUCCAGCACCUACCUCCGCCUGUCUCCUCGCCUCCCGCCCCCUCGCUCUCCCCCAAACGCCACCGCCUCCAUCCACGCCACGCAGUCGAUCCCCGCUCUGCUCUCCUGCGUGCCCCCCUAUGCGUGCGCACUCUUCCUGCCGUGUGAUCUCCGUCACGCCGCCACAGAGAAUCACCGUCGCCUCCCACCACGUCAAGGCAGGGGUCGAGCAGGCCGGCAGGCCAUGGACGGCUGUGCCCAACGCUCUUGACAUGUACUACAUUGCUUCGUGCCAUUGCUCCCGUAGUGCUCGAUCAAAUGCCUUUAGUUUUUUUCCCCCAAAAAGUUAGGCAAAAAUUCAGUUCAGCCUAGACAUUCAUGCAGCCCCAAAAGUUCACCAUUAUUUAAUUAUUUCAAUUUUCAAUCAUGCUAUAAAAACCAUAAUGUUAGUCAUACUCUACCAUACUGCUAGCAAGUAAAAACAGCACCUACACUGACUCACCUUAAUGACAAUGACAAUUAGAUUUAAUGGUGGUUGCAGAAUUAUCACCCCACUUACAUGGUCAGGUUGUGACGAAAUAUCAUACAUACAUCUGGUCAGUAUAACACUAUAUCCUACCAUUUAUCCCUUGUUCUGCAUUUUUGUUGUAGAUGGACCUUUCUGUGCAAUUAAUUAAAGGCACUCAACUUUUGUACUAUGAUCUCUGAACAAAGAAAUUUUGUGAAGGGGGAAGUCUUUCUGAAAUUGACCAUCUGGAAAAAAAGGUUCUGACAUUGCUUUCUAUGAUCAACAGUCAAUUGUUACUAAAUUGCAGGGCCUAACCUUUGUAUGUGCUAUGAGUCAAUCCAAUGAAGGCAUAAAUUUUUAAUUAUCGUUGUCCAAUUCUGGUGUUGCCUUGAAUUGUGGGAGAGGUACUACUAACGUGCAUAUGACCAGGUGUCCUAUACAUUGUAGAUGAGAUCAUUUUGUGAAAAAUUAAAACCAUCUCAUUAUGGUAGUGUCUGAGUUGUGAAGUUGCUGAUGAAACAUCCAAACUGAAUGAAGUUUUUUUUGCUGUAGAUAAUGUGCUAAAUUUAUUACAAAUCAAAAUUCUACCUUGCCCAUCACCAUCGUUCUCCAUCAUGAUCGACCUUCUCUCCAGUCUCUCCAAGUAGACAAACCACAGCUUUGCUGUUGCAGAAGGCAAACCACAGCUCGUGUCCCUAGCGCAAGCGGGGAAUGAGAUCUCUCAUGAGAGUUUGAAGCGUGAAGGCUGUUUUUCUUGCGGGUUUCUUGUGUGAGAUUGGGGUUUCAUGUCUGUAUGUGUGUAUUUGUGUGGACAUCUAACUUUCUGGUGUUGUGCAGACCUAAGUAUCUUGGAUCCGCUUGUGAUCGAAGGUCUUGACUACUCUCUUUUGAUCCAUAGUAUUGUGUCAAAUAAAUUUGAUAUGUAGCUUUGGUGUCCUUAAAUGGCUUGGUUAUUUUAUAACUGUAGUGGUGGCAGCUUCGAAAUUUGCAUUGCUCAUGUAGACAGGGGACAAAUUAUUUUUUUUGGCAUGUGCUCUUUUGCUUGGAGUAUUGUGUGCCUAUAUAGCUGAUUGAGCUAUGUUUAGAAGCACUGAACAAGAAUCAUUACAGAAUAGGGGCACUGAAUAAAAUGUCUCUUCUCCGCAUGACCCUGAUUCUUAUUUCCUUAUUUUUGGGAUCGGUUUUAUCAUUCAUAUAUUCAAGCAUAUAGGUGCAAUGGUGAAGUUGAUUUGAUUCUCUGUUAUUGCUUAGUGUCUUCUAUAUAUUAUGGUAUUAAGAAAUCCAUUUCAGUACAUGCACCAUGUUUUUGUCUUAAUUUUCUGCUGUGCAGUUUACCCAUCUACCUUUCUGGUAGCUCUUUCACGUCAUGAUCCCCACAUCAUAAUCUAUAUAUUUCAGUUAUAGUUAGAGAGGAAAAGUCGAAUUUGUUAUGAGCUUAUGAGGAUUUAAUUGAUACCAAAAAUUGAUUUUUGUAGAGUUGCAUUUAAAAUAUGAAGAAGUUACUUGCAAUGGAUAACAAUGGUAGGGAUUCCGCCUCAAGAUCGUUGAAAAGAUCAUGUCCGACUUUCAUCCACCCAGACAUAGUCAUAGUCAUUGCUUGAUUGAGAUAUUUUUUCCUCCUAAUUUUACAAAUACCUCCCUUAGGUCCUUUUGCCGAUAUAACUAAUCUAAUUGAUACCAAGUUGACAAACAAGCGUGCCGCUGUUAACCAAAAUGAAAUCAAUGUUCCAAAAGACCGUGACAACUGUGAACAGAUCAGUAAGAACGAUAAGAUUCAGACAGCCUCAACAAUUGGAUUUGGUAGCCUACUCAUAAUGUUUAUAUUUUUUAAUAUGAUAUAUUUGUAAGGCUAACACCAACAUUACGAUUCUAUGGUACAUGCAAUGAAAAUGUGUGUUCUGUCAUGACGCCCGUGCAUCUACCAUCUACAGAGUCUACUUUUCCUCCCUGCCGCUACAGUGGCAUCUUCAACCUCCAGCCGGCUGGAGACAGAGCCCGAUGCCGCCAUUGCCGUCGAUUUCCCCUCCAAAUCCGGUCUCCUCUCUCGUGUUAUUUCAAAAUUAGUUGAGGGGAAAUAUUCCUCUUAUCCUCCUCUAUCCUUUCCCCCAAGAAUCGGACUUUAUCCCGAAGAAUCAACGCGGAAUCUAGCUCGAUUCGUGUUUAUCUCUCCAAACCAAACCCUAGAAAAUCCCGGCUCCGAUUCUCUCGUUGUUGGAUCGAUCUCUCUCCCAUGGCUAUAAAUAGAGUCCCCUCCCUCUCCUCUUUCGGCUGGCACCUCUACCUCUCUCCACCGUCGCUUGUAGCGUCGUCGCCGCGUUCGUCUUCUCUGUCCACCGCCGGCAGCCGCUCCAGCCGCCCCUAGCAGUCGCCUCGUCCCCAACCUGUGCCGCCACCUCCCUCGGCAUCGCAGCACCGAGGAGAAGCCCGUCCACCCCUCCGUUGCCGCUGCUCGUCGCCGGAAAGUCGCCGUCGUCGUCGUCCCGACUUCGCCGCCGUUCGGAGCUCGUCGCUGGUCGUCUUCCAUCGUCGUUCGUCGUCGUGCCGCCCCUUGCCUGGACGUAGGGUUGUGCGAGGCUAAGGCCUCGGGCUGAUGGCAAGAGACGGAGCAAGGCCUCGGGCUGACGGCAAGAGACGUUGCCUAGGGCUGCUUCAACCGAAAUCAAAAGAGAUGAACUCGGGGUGAGUUGCAGCUACCUUCUAGCUACAGCAAUGGAGUGGAUGUAACACCCUGAAAAUUCAAGACAAUCAAAAUCACUAGAAUUUUGAACUUUUUAAAAUUUUUGCAUCAUGCUGGAUGUUAUGGUUGCUUUUGCUUGCCAAACUAUAAAUUGUCACAAUGGAAAAUUAAACUAAAGUUAUACAACUAAGUAAUAAUUAUAAUAAUAAGAUAUUUAUUAUGAACCCUAUAAAUAUUUACGCACAAGAAAACAAAGCCAUAAAAAGGGAAGGUUAAUUACUAAUUUAAUUUAUGGAUCAAAUAUUAAAUACUUGAACAUGUGAUGCGUGCCAUGAAAUAUAAACACUUAGGAAAUGAUAAUCGUUCAAAUAAAUGGAACUCUAUCUAUAGAAUAGUUUUACUGGGAAAAAAUAAUUAGAUAUUAUAUAAUUUGAAUUGAAUCACAAAUGCUAAAUUAUAGAAAUCCAUGUGGUGGUAAAACCAAUCCAAGAAGAUAAACCAAUAUGUGUGAAAACAGAUAAAUACCAAAAUCCCAAAUAUAGGAAAUUAUAGAAUCUUUAAUAAACCUUAAAUAUUGGACAGUAUUAAAUUUUGGGCAAAUUCACAUUGAACACUUAAUACGGUCACCCAAAUGCUUAGGAGUAAAUAAAAAAUUAAUUUGCAACUUUUCUCAAUUUAUAAAUCAACCAAAGCCUUAAAAGUAAGAAAAUAGGAAAACUCAGAAAAAUAUAUAAUAAUAAUAAGGAUAUGUUCAAUAUUAAAUUUGAAUAUAAAUUUUGAUGGAAUAACAUAGAUUUUGUGUGAAACACAUUGUAACAAAAUAGGUGGCAAUAGUCCAUUUUCUAAAUUAGAAAAAACAUCUAAUAAAAUCCAAAUAAAUCGGCUAGCACUGUUCAUUGCCCCCUAGGUGCUCAACCCUGUCCCAUCGCCGCCCUCCCCCUGCCCGCGCUGCGCCUAGCCUUGCCCUGCCUUGCCGUGUCGCGCCUAGCCCUGCCGCGCCGCUGCCUUGCGCCCCGCGCCGCCGCACCCCAUCGUGUCGCCGUCGCCGUCGCUCAGACGUGCCGCGCGCCGUUGCUUCGCUCUGCGCGCGCUGCCGCGCCCCCUCGCGUCCCAUCGUGUCACGCGCCGUCGCCGUCUCCGAUCGCGUCGCCUGGAGCCCCACCCCUCCGCGCGUCACGUCGCCGUCGCCAUCACGUCGUCAUCAUCACCGCGCCGCGUGCCGUCACCAUCGCCGUCCCGUCGCCACUGCCGCGCCGAGCGCCGUCCUAUCGCCGCGCCGCGCUCCAUCGCAACGCCGUCACCCUUGAUCCCCGCGCCACUGCUGCGCUAUCGCGUCACCGCCGUCGCCAUCACCGCCUCGAGCCCCGCCCGCGCCGCGCACUGUUGUCGUCGCGCUCGCCAUCCCAACGCCGCGCGUCACCAUCGCCCCGAGCCCCGCGUCGCCGCGCCAUCCCGUCGACGUUUAAAGCCGGCCACCCCUCCCCCGAGCCCUAUAAAUACCCCCCCUUUCCCUUCCCUCCCCACGCCAUUCCCCCCAUCUUCUCCCCUUUUUGCUCUUUCUUCCCCUCCACCGACGCCGCAUUCCGCCGCCGCGCCGCCGCUGCCAUGCCCCGGCGUCUCGCCGCCGCCACGCCGCACCCCGCCGCCGUGUCCUCGCCGCCGUCGCCGCCGGUCCAGUAAGCCCUCCCGCCUCCCUUCGUCGCCGGUAGCCGCGCCGCUCGGCCGUGAGAGAGAGAGAGAGAGGAGAAAACAGAGAAAGCAGAGAGAGAAAAGAGAAUAGAGAAGAGAGGUUAGAGUGGGCCCCACGUGAUUAGUAAAUA